UACGGAGGGAGCUAGCGUUGUUCGGAAUUACUGGGCGUAAAGCGCACGUAGGCGGCUUUGUAAGUUAGAGGUGAAAGCCCGGGGCUCAACUCCGGAACUGCCUUUAAGACUGCAUCGCUUGAAUCCAGGAGAGGUGAGUGGAAUUCCGAGUGUAGAGGUGAAAUUCGUAGAUAUUCGGAAGAACACCAGUGGCGAAGGCGACUCACUGGACACGUAUUGACGCUGAGGUGCGAAAGCGUGGGGAGCAAACAGG
rnacentral:rRNA from 1 species